rnacentral:rRNA from 1 species
GACGAACGCUGGCGGCGUGCUUAACACAUGCAAGUCGAACGGUGAUCUUGGGAGCUUGCUCUUGGGUGAUCAGUGGCGAACGGGUGAGUAACACGUGAGUAACCUGCCCUUGACUUUGGGAUAACAUCUGGAAACAGGUGCUAAUACCGGAUAUGAGCCUUUUCCGCAUGGGGAGGGUUGGAAAGCUCCGGCGGUCAUGGAUGGACUCGCGGCCUAUCAGCUUGUUGGUGUGGUAGUGGCUCACCAAGGCUCCGACGGGUAGCCGGCCUGAGAGGGCGACCGGCCACAUUGGGACUGAGAUACGGCCCAAACUCCUACGGGAGGCAGCAGUGGGGAAUAUUGCACAAUGGGCGGAAGCCUGAUGCAGCAACGCCGCGUGCGGGAUGACGGCCUUCGGGUUGUAAACCGCUUUCAGCAGGGACGAAGCUAACGUGACGGUACCUGCAGAAGAAGCACCGGCUAACUACGUGACAGCCGCCGCUGUAAUAC